rnacentral:rRNA from 1 species
GAAUUUUUCGCAAUGGGCGAAAGCCUGACGAAGCAACGCCGCGUGGAGGAUGAAGGCCCUAGUGGUCGUAAACUCCUGUCUAGCGGGACGAAAGUCUUGCCAGAGGAUAUUUGGCGAGAUUGACUGUACCGCUGGAGGAAGCUCCGGCCCACUCCGUGCCAGCAGCCGCGGUAAUACGGCGGGAGCAAGCGUUACUCGGAAUUAUGGGGCGUAAAGGGCGCGUAGGCGACCUGGCAAGUCAACUGUGAAAGCCCCGAGCUUAACUCGGGAAGUGCAGCUGAUACUGCUGGGUUUGAGCUCCGGAGAGGAAGGCAGAAUUCCCGGUGUAGCGGUGAAAUGCGUAGAUAUCGGGAGGAAUACCAGUGGCGAAGGCGGCCUUCUGGACGGAUACUGACGCUGAGGCGCGAAAGCUAGGGGAGCAAACGGG